GUAACUGGGUCACCUUGCUGUACAGUAGAAAAUUGAUAGAACACUGUAAAUCAGCUAUAAGGAAAAAAUAAAAAUCAUUAUAAAAAUAUAGAAAGUCAGAUUUGUUUUUCAGGACUCCUGACAAUAAUCUCUGCUGUUGGCACAGUGCCUGCUGUGGUGCCAGAUAGUUUACAUGUAUAAUCUCUGAAAGUAAACAUUUUUUAAAUUUAUUUUUUAUUUUUAUUUAUUUAUUUAAAUUUAUUUUUUAUUUGUUUGUUUUUGAUUUUUUUUUUUUUGGUCUUUUUUUUUUUUUGCCAUUUCUUGGGCCGCACCCAUGGCAUAUGGAGGUUCCCAGGCUAGGGGGGUUGAAUCGGAGCUGUAGCCACCGGCCUACGCCAGAGCCACAGCAAUGCGGGAUCCGAGCCGCCUCUGCAACCUACACCACAGGUCACGGCAACGCCGGAUCGUUAACCCACUGAGCAAGGGCAGGGACUGAACCCACAACCUCAUGGUUCCUAGUCGGAUUCGUUAACCACUGCGCCACGACGGGAACUCCCCUAACUGAAAAUUUUUUUUCGUGUUAACAGAGCAUGUGUUAUUAGAGCAGAGAAUUUGAGUUGAGUUGUUUUAUGGUGGAUGAUACUGCUUUCCUCCACAGUCUUAGAUGAGAAGUCUACCUCUGCACCAUGUGCAGUACUGGGCUUUGAGGCUUUUUUCGAAAUCCUGCUGGAUGGAGACCCUCUGGCUUCCAUCCUGUUCACUCAUGUAGCCUUCACUUUGUAAGGCUGAGAUGAGGGGUCUGGAUACUGAGCCUUUAGAUGUUUUUGCAACAGCUUGCCAGUGGUCUCUGCUCCUGAAAUCACCAUAUUCAUGCUGCCCCAUGAAGAGAGGCCAGCAGCUCCUACUGAUGGGCUGGAAGUACCCUCUGAGGACAGGGGGCCUUGCAGUCCUUGCUAAGAACAAUAUUAAAGUGUGUUGAAAGCACUUGCUAUGGCCGUGUUUGCUAUGCUUCUUGGAUCUGUGAAGGCUGCUCCUCCUGGGGUUAUGUUUCUCCUCUGAGUCUGCAGACAUGGUUGCAGUCACAUCCUCAGCACCAGCGGUGGUGCCUGUUGUUACAGUUGCUCCUUUUAUCAGGUCUUUUAGGCUUUAUAACUGCAGAAGUGUGUGAACUCUUGAGUGAAGUAUGUGUGGGAAGCAUAUUGAAUUCAUUCCUCCCCAGCAUAAUCCUGGUCAGUGGCCCUAAACACUUCAGGGUUUAUGUGAAGGCUCCUGAUGCUCGCUUGAUCUUGGUUCCUUCCAUAGAGAUAAAUGGCAUUUGCCUGGGGAAAGACAGGUAAAAUAAAGUGAGACCAGAAAGACUAAUUCCAAUAGCUAAACAACAAGAGCUUAUAAUAAGAAUUUUGAGGUUUCAAGUCCACUCUCCCAUUUGAUGCAAUGGUCGGCUCUAUACUAUCCGCACAAUGACCACAACGAUCAUUCCAGUUUUGCUUGACGUUCCAGUUUGUGUCACUGACAGUGCUUUUUAAAAUACACUUUGUUAAUAAUUUCUGCUGGUCAAGUGGUAUAAGCUUUAAUAUUUUGGUGGCUACCAACAAAUUGUGCACAUGCACAUAAGCAUAUCUACUGCCAGUGAUGUAUACACAAAUUAGUACAUGGCUGUCAUGGGGAGACACAUAUCCUGCAGCAUGUCAGCCUGCCUGGGUUGGAGUAUUUAAGAAUAGAUUGAAUGGGCAGGAUACUGUAGAUGGCAACAUAAUAUUGGAUAUGCAAUUAAGGGUGGUAAUAGCUAAUGAAUCUCUGGAAUACAGAGAACACUUUGGAGAAGCACUGGGAACCUUCUCAAUGUGUCAUGGCUGCCAAAUGAGUCUCAUUUGGCCCUAAGCCCUUCUAAAAAUCAAUGUAUUUCCCAAGUGACCUUCAGUACCAAAGCCUCUCUGGGGCCUUUAGCUGUUCUCACUAAGCACCUGGCCUCAUCUUUUAGAGUCUCUGCAAAGACACCACUGGACACUUAUUGUCUUCCUCAAACCCAGUGUGUCUAAUGUGUCCCCAGCUGGGAUGGCCUGGGUGCCUUUGUUAUGCUCCACCAGUGGUCUUAGGAUGUAACUGAGGUUUUCCCAAGUGAGCAAAAAGACCUCUUAUUUCUGAAGGGGAAUACAGCUACAGGUAAAAAGAGCGGCCAGUGGCAAGCUUCAGGUGGAGCUGUUGUUUUUCACGGUUACGGAGGGAUAUCUUUAUAAACUUCAAGGGAAGCAGCCUGGUUACCUCUAAGAAAGAUCCGUGUCAGCUUUUUACCUCUGUCCUGGGCAGCAGGACUGUGUCUGUUAUAGUAAUCACAGAUCAUACCUGAUCGGGCCAGCAGCAUGACACUGGGGAGCGUGAGGUAGGGGCUGGUGUGAAUGAUGCCCAGAGUCGCCAGUCUGGCCCGGUUGUGCACAUCAAUCAUUUCUCCUUUUCUGCUGACCUGUAUAAAGCCAUUCUCAAACACUGGCGCGUACUGGAAUAUAGUGUACUCCCUCUGGUACAGUUGUCGCUGCGGUUUCCCUAUGGAGGUAUUAAACACGCCCACUGCAAGGCUGCUUUCAGCUGUGUAGUGUGGUAACAUGGAUUGGCUGUUCAUCACUAUCUUUUACAAAGACAGCUCCUACAGACUCCUCUACCCCUUCCUUACCGUGCCUUGCAGGGCGUCUCGUGUCCCUGGUCUCUCUAGUGGGGGGGCUAGGGGCGGCCUUCUGCAGGCUUUGCCUCUGAAUGACGGAGGACAGGAUCGGGGCACUGAUUAUCCACUGCUCUGUUUCAGAAGUUGCUCCUGGACCUGACCAUUCCCUGCCUAGAUGAUGGAGAUGUCAGGACAUGUAGAGGUCCAGGCCCAGUAGAUGUCAGCAUGCUGAUAUUGAGAAGGACAGCUGUCAGCAUCCUAGUAUGUCAGGCUGCGCAGAUGUUGAGGCACAGAUAUUGGUAUUUAGUUGUAAUCCCACCGCAUCUCUCCUCUGAAACCAUAGCCUUCACAUAGGCCUAAACCACCCCAAGGGACCGCUUUUAUCCUCACCUGCUUAUUGUGAUCUGAGCCCAUCACAUAUCCCUUUGUCUCUGUCACCUAACCGUCCCUCCCUCUCCACUUCACCUCACCCCCCUUACCAGGCUACCUGCCACACCUCAGCAGACCACCCCCUCCUCCCAGAGGCCCAUCUAAGGAUCUUCUUAAUACAUCCUGACAAAUUGCUUUCCAAAAGGGUUAUGCAGACUUCCUGUUAGGUAUGAGUUUAAAAUAUGCAUACGCUCUUAUCCAGUGCUUUUGAUUGUAGACAACUAUAAUUAAUUGUGGACAGUUUACCUUAAAGAGAAUUGGACAGGUGACAAACAAGCUGGAUGUACAGAAUGUUAAUCAAGAUUUAUCAUAGGCACAAAGAUCCUAAACAAGAUUAAUUCUAUGGAAGAAUAUUCUGCAGCCACAAAAUAAUUAUGUAGUUCCUUAUUUAUUGAGAUGGAAAGACAUCCCUGAUUUUUUUCUUUUUUCUUUUUUUAGGGCCGAACCCACGGCAUAUGGAGGUUCCCAGUCUAGGGGUUGAAUUGGAGCUGCAGCUGCUACCCCACACCACAGCCACAGCAACAGCAGAUCCGAGCCAUGUCUGCGACCUACACCACAGAUCAUGGCAACGCGGGAUCCUUAACCCACUGCGUGAGGCCAGGAAUCGAACCCGCGUUCUCAUGAAUGCUAGUCAGAUUGGUUUCCACUGAGCCACGAUGAGAACUCCUUCCUGAUUUUUUUUUUUUAAAGAGCAAAGCAGAUUUCAAACUAGCUUUAUACUUGUGGUCCAAUUUAUGUAAGAUAAUCUGUAUGCAUGAAGAUGUGUGUUUGUGUAUGGGUAUGAAAAUAAGCUGAAUGAAAUGUUCAAAGUGCUUAUCCCUGGAUGGUGUAAUUUUAAUUUUCUUUAUACUUUCUGUUUUUAUUAGAAUAGUUAUUAUUUCUAUUAACAGGAAGAAUAAAGCUUUUUUAUUAACAAUAUCUAUUUUUACAGCUGUUACAAAUUUUAUGUUUUGAUGCUCCAUUAAAUUGCUGGUGAGAAUUUUAAGCUUUUCCCUAGACAUCCGUACCCUGACUAUAAGGUGAAAAGAGCCUUAAACAUCAUAUUUAUGCCCUAUUCUUACUGACUAAUCAAACCUGCAUCCUCAUGGGUACCAGUUGGGUUCGUUACCUCUGAGCCACAAUGGGAACUCCUUUACCACCUAUCAAAUUGACUUAUUAAAAAAAAGUUUGAGAAAUUUUGCCAACUAUUAUAAAUAUUAUCACCUCAAUAAGUUUAAAACGUUUUUAUUGGCGUGACCAUAUACAUAACACACACGUACACACAAAAGCACACAUGCACACACAUAAAGCCAUAGUUUUUGAGUCUUUAGUUUGUUCUGGAGUUAAAAAGGAACAUUUUUCUUCCCUUCUUAUUGAAGUAUCUGGUUGUUUUUGGUAAAAUGAAUAUUUUAUUCUUUUUUUAUUGAGAGGGCUAGUCACACAUCAACAGUGGUUCUAGCCUGUCCAAAUUCUUUGUAUUUUAAUUUCUACUUCCUAUCUAUGUUAUUUAUAAAUAAUGUAAAAAGCAUAAGCCUAACAUACAUCUAGUAAUCAAACUAACUUUUUUUAAAAUUUUUUUAAGAAAUCAAAAAUGUAAUUACAAUUUUUCACACAAAGAACAUUCUAGACAAAGCUUUAUUGAUUAAUUCUAUCUAAGAAAUAAGGUCAACUUAUAUAUUCAUGCAAAAAAUAGUGAAUGAAGGAACACUUACCAACUCAUUUUAAAAGAUCAGCAUUAUCCUGAUAGCAAAGUCAGACAAAGACAUUACAAAAUAAAAGGUACAGACAAAUGUCCUUAGUGAGAGUAUAUGCAACAAUAUUUGACAAAAUAGUAGCAAAUUAAAUAAGCAAAAUUAAAAAAAAAAUGUGUUGCAUUGUGGCCAAAUGGGGUUUAUCUCAGGAAUGCAAGGUUAGUUUAACAUAUGAAAAUCUAAUAAUUUAUCAUACUUACAGUAUAAAUGUGAAUAACUAUAUAAUCAUAUCAAUAGAGGCAGAAAAUGAAUUUUACAAAGUUUAUGCUUUUAAAAGCUAUCAGAAAACCAAGAAUAGAAUGUGAGUUCUUCAUUCUAAUAAAGAAUAUCUGUAUAGGUUUACUUCUGGACUCUAUAUUCUGUCCCACUGAAGAUGCCUCCAGUUAUGCUAUUCUUCUCAAGGUUGUUUUGGCUAUUUGACAAACUAACUUUUCAAAUGUAUCCAAGUGGUUCUGGUAUAAGUUGAAGGGAAUAGGUAGCACUGGAUACAGUAUAAUUUAAUUUAUGUGCUCUUUAAAAAUUAAAGUGAAGAUAUACUGAUUUUCUUAAAAGCCCUUUUAUGCCAUGCACAUAUAUUACAAGAUAUUUGUCUUAGACUUCCAUUAAACCACUGAGUUAAUAGUUUUGUCUCCAGGGAAACCAGAAACUAUAUUACUUGUAGGGCAUGAGGACUUUGAGAAUUUUUUCCUAACCAGUCAUUAGACCAAUAGCAGUAGAACCUUUUUUAUUUGGCCUGAUAACCAGCAUGUGUAGCAUUCUGGCAAAUAUGUCUGUUUUCAUGAGUUUAAUAAAUUAUAUCUGAAUUUCCUCUAGCUGUUUAGAAAACAAUCUUAAUAAUAUUUGCUUCAAUACUUAAGAAGCUCAGAUAGCCGAAUUAAAAAAAACUACCUGGAGCUGAGAUUGAGAAAUUUUUUUGAUGUAAAUACAGCAGCUCUUAGAAGAGAUUUCCAUACUUCCAUACAGUUAGUCAUUAGAUAUUCUUAAAAUAAAUUUAUGCUCCCUCUGCUCCACAUAAGUAUUUGUGUCAUUGGGUGAAUUAUUGAACCUCCCCGAGCCUUGUAUUUGUCGUCCUUGAAGCUGAAAUGAUCCUUUAGUUAUCUUUCAUCUCCAGAAUAGUUAAAUAAUAAUAAUGGUUUUGUGAUGGGGUUUAACUUUUUAUCCCAUAAUAAAACUACUAUAUACUUUGAAAAUACUCCAAACAAUAACAAAGAAUAUUCAGCUAUUAACAGCUCUGGGAAUUUGCGAUACAAUAUAUAAUCUUAUUCAGUUGCUGAAUUCCUUCUUGCCAAAGCUUUUUAAAAAAACCGACAUUUGAGGAGUUCCCAUCGUGGCUUAGUGGUUAACGAAUAUCGCUAGGAACCAUGAGAUUGCGGGUUUGAUCCCUGACCUUGCUCAGUGGGUUAAGGAUCUGGCGUUGCCGUGAGCUGUGGUGUAGAUCGUAGAUACGGCUCGGAUCCCGCGUUGCUGUGGCUCUGGUGUAGGCUGGCGGCUACAGCUCCAAUUAGACCCCUGGCCUGGUAAUCUCCAUAUGUCACAGGAGCGGCCCCAGAAAAGGCAAAAAGCCCAAAAUAAAUAAAUAAAAAAAUUAAAAAAAAAAAAAUAAAAAA
rnacentral:lncRNA from 1 species